ensembl:lncRNA
UUCCUGCAAGGGACGGCCAGGUGUGGGCAGUGCUGGCCGCUGUCUCCUCACUGCAUUGUUACCCCAAUGUUAGCACCGGCCACACUCUGCCCAGCGCUCACUUGCACUGCCUGUGCUUCACAAACACCUGAGGCCAGUGCGGGCAGGGUGUAAACACCCACUUAGCCAACAGAAGAGAUGCCGGGCCACUUGGUGAAUCACGGCCACUUUAAAUGUGUAGGUGUCCGCACCCGAGGCUUCAGGGCCAAGGGAAUAAUACUCUGGAUUCUCCAGAAUUCUCUGCAUGCCGUUUCCAACACUCGGCUCCAGGAGCAAGGAAAUCCGUGUGACUUCAGGAUUCGGUGGCAAACUCAACCUGCUUUCUCACACUAUCAGUGCCUGAAGUUCCACUUCAAGCUUUUCUUUCACUUCUGUGACCAAACAGGGGCAAUGCCUUUUGACAUCUUAGAGUGGGGCUAUGAAUUGCAUCCCCCCCAGUUACAGUCAAACCCUCACCCAGGUAACUAUGAACACGAUCUUAUUGGGAAACAGGGUCUUCCGCAGCUGUAAUCAAGUUAAGGGGUCACACUGGGCUAGAGUGUGCUCCGAAUCCAAUGACGAGUUUCCUAAUCAGAGAAAGGAGAUGGAG